rnacentral:misc_RNA from 1 species
UGGAUGCCAAUCUACAUGAAGUAUGUUAGUUACAAAGUUAAGAAAUGAAAAUUGGAUGAAAAAGAGCAUUGUAGAUGAACCACUUGAACCACACUACGGUUGACUGAAACACCAAAGAAUUUACGGGAUGAGAUCAGCAUUUCAAAGCUUAGAAAGCCAAAUGUAGACAUCAGAAAAAGUGAAAGUCAACAUCAACACGGUAUAAAGGCCCAUAAUUUAUGCAAAAAGCCACCCAACUACAAUUGCCCCCAUCAUAUAACAUGUCCUUUUUGAAUGGAUCUUCAUAACUCAUGUCUACAAUCCUUUGACUCAACACUUUGACCAUAACAAACAGGCACAGCUGAAGUCAAUUGGGUUGAAAGCCAGUGAACUUUUAACAGCUUGAUAGAUAAAUG